rnacentral:rRNA from 1 species
GGGGGAUAUUGCACAAUGGGGGAAACCCUGAUGCAGCGACGCCGCGUGAGGGAAGACGGUCCUCUGGAUUGUAAACCUCUGUCUUCGGGGACGAAACGAGACGGUACCCGAGGAGGAAGCCACGGCUAACUACGUGCCAGCAGCCGCGGUAAUACGUAGGUGGCAAGCGUUGUCCGGAGUUACUGGGUGUAAAGGGAGCGUAGGCGGGCAGGCAAGUCAGGCGUGAAAUAUAUCGGCUCAACCGGUAACGGCGCUUGGAACUGCAGGUCUUGAGUGAAGUAGAGGUUGGCGGAAUUCCUAGUGUAGCGGUGAAAUGCGUAGAUAUUAGGAGGAACACCAGUGGCGAAGGCGGCCAACUGGGCUUUUACUGACGCUGAGGCUCGAAAGUGUGGGGAGCAAAC